GGGGGGAGACGUGCCACUGAGAGAGAAAGGGGUGGGGUUGGGCGGCUGACGCCCGGUUGAGGCGGAGAGCCGGGCAGGGGGAGGGGGACGAAGCCGGCGGAAAAGCGGCCGAGAGAACCGGGGCUGGAGGAGCCCAGGGUGCCCAGAAAGUGCCCUCUCCGCGCAGGGCUGCGGCCGAGCAUCCCGGAGCUCGUGGAAUAGUUAACCGUGUCGGCCUCCUGCCCACCCCAGCGGGGGUUUAGAGAAAGGGCAAAUUGUGACCGGGACUCAUGCACCCGGUUCAUUGAAUAUUAAUCACCCCAAGGCCUAGGCCAACCGCCCCCCAGAGAGUGGCAGCUGCAGAACCCACACGCCGCAGAGCCGGGCUGGGGGCGGGGAAGGGAGGCGGCCGCAGCUCUCGCCCCGCCGGCAGUUUAACUGCCUCCGCAGCCUCAGGCCUCCCGGUGUGACCCCGACUGCGACUGGUCCCAGCCCACGCCGGGCUCAGGGUGCGGCGACACGAGGCCAAGCUGCGUAGCAACGACGCCUGAUUGGCCGCGCGGGUCUCGUCGCAACCAGGCGAUUGGCGGCCUGGUAUCCAGGAGACCGACGUCAAACUCGGACUGGGAAAAGGGGAAAGUCGAGGAGGGGAGCGAUGGAGGGGAAGGGGAGAAAGAAGCAAUGAAUGAAACGCCCAUCGCCUGACCUUCCCCUUUCCCCUUUCCUCCGCAUUCUUGGAGCACUUCCUGGAAAAACACCAGUUGGGGCGCCGCCUUCCCCUCCAAACGGUGGGGCCUGCACUCUCAACCUGCUAUAAGGAAGUUAAACCGCAGCUCAUCAUGGAUUCGGUGUCUGCGGGGCGGGCCCGUGUAGACCAGCUGCGCUCCUUCGGGCACAAACCCGCUGUACAUGUCAGGCCUAGAAGCUAUUGGCUUUAUGGACGCAAAAUCUGGAUGGAGCCGCCUUCUCCACUUUGGGUCUCCCGCCUCUCCUUUUCAGAAGGACCCGCAGUUAGAAAGGGUAUUUCUGAAGGCUCACUGCGUAGAAGGGGAGGGAGGAUGGGUUUGUGGAAUGGGCUGACGGUGGGGAGUGGUCAGGUGACUGAUUUCAUGUUUAUUGUACAGAUUCCUAAAACAUAGUUUUACUCAGUGACUCCUUAAACUCUGAUUAUUGUGAUUUUUUUUUUUUUUUUGGUGUUUUAUGUUUUUUAGUUGCAAACGACAGUGGAAUUGAACUGUGAAAGUAUGGCAAAACUGUGAAAGCAUUUAAAUUAAAAUGGCACUUCCUCUGCGUUGAAAUGUCAUCAGAACGUCAAAUAUGAAUGAUUUGUUCAGUUUU